rnacentral:rRNA from 1 species
UACGUAGGGUGCAAGCGUUAUCCGGAAUUAUUGGGCGUAAAGAGCUCGUAGGCGGUUUGUCGCGUCUGCUGUGAAAACCCGAGGCUCAACCUCGGGCCUGCAGUGGGUACGGGCAGACUAGAGUGCGGUAGGGGAGAUUGGAAUUCCUGGUGUAGCGGUGGAAUGCGCAGAUAUCAGGAGGAACACCAAUGGCGAAGGCAGCUCGCUGGGACGGUACUGACGCUGAGACGCGAAAGCGUGGGGAGCAAACAGG